rnacentral:tRNA from 3 species
GGUCUUAUAUUCAUAAAAUGAUAUUAGAAUGCAAUUCUAAAGGUGUAAGUAGAUACUAAGACUU